rnacentral:rRNA from 1 species
AAGGCUUGACAUAUACCGGAAAAGGCUGGAAACAGUCUCCCCGCAAGGUCGGUAUACAGGUGGUGCAUGGUUGUCGUCAGCUCGUGUCGUGAGAUGUUGGGUUAAGUCCCGCAACGAGCGCAACCCUCGUUCUAUGUUGCCAGCACGUAAUGGUGGGAACUCAUAGGAGACUGCCGGGGUCAACUCGGAGGAAGGUGGGGAUGACGUCAAAUCAUCAUGCCCCUUAUGUCUUGGGCUUCACGCAUGCUACAAUGGCCGAUACAAAGGGCUGCAAUACCGUAAGGUGGAGCGAAUCCCAAAAAGUCGGUCUCAGUUCGGAUUGAGGUCUGCAACUCGACCUCAUGAAGUCGGAGUCGCUAGUAAUCGCAGAUCAGCAACGCUGCGGUGAAUACGUUCCCGGGCC